rnacentral:rRNA from 1 species
UACGUAGGGUGCGAGCGUUGUCCGGAAUUAUUGGGCGUAAAGGGCUCGUAGGCGGUUUGUCGCGUCGGGAGUGAAAACCUUGGGCUUAACUCAGGGCUUGCUUUCGAUACGGGCAGACUAGAGGUAUGCAGGGGAGAACGGAAUUCCUGGUGUAGCGGUGAAAUGCCCAGAUAUCAGGAGGAACACCGGUGGCGAAGGCGGUUCUCUGGGCAUGAUCUGACGCUGAGGAGCGAAAGUGUGGGGAGCGAACAGG